UACAGAGACUGCAAGCGUUAUUCGGAUUCACUGGGCGUAAAGGGUGCGAAGGCGGUCGGGUGUGUCAGAUGUGAAAUCCCGAGGCUCAACCUCGGAACUGCGUCUGAAACUACUCGACUAGAGUACUGGAGAGGGUAACGGAAUUCACGGUGUAGCAGUGAAAUGCGUAGAUAUCGUGAGGAACACCAGAGGCGAAGGCGGUUACCUGGACAGUUACUGACGCUCAGGCACGAAAGCAUGGGGAGCAAAAGGG
rnacentral:rRNA from 1 species